AGGCCCGGGUCGGGCAGCGGCUUGGCCAGCGCGCCGGGCGGCAGCGCGAGUGCCGGGAAGAAGGAGGGCUGCGCCGCCGCCAGAAAGGCGGACAUGGGGAAGUCGGCGGGCCGUGGCGCGUGGAACGGGUGUUGGAGCUCAGAGAAGUUAUGGCCCAAGAUGGAAGAGCAAGUCUGUGGCAGACGAGGUCCAAGAACUCGCUCUCCUGAUGCCUCAGUUGAGAACACGUUCUACUUCACUACCUGGUCUCCCAGCUACCCAAGGGCAUAUGAACAACCAGGGAAUUACUUUGGGGGAUACCAGCAAGGAGAUUUGGAGAUCCUGGAAAUUGGAAAAAACAAAACAAUCUGUCUAGGACGGCAGAGAGAGCUGGUCUCAUCCAGGACACUAAUUCCUGCCCUUGGACACUGGUACUCCUGGUUCUCAGGCCUUUGAACUUGGACCGGGACUUACACCAUCAGCUCCCCUGGUUAUAUACCACCAGCCUUCUUGGUUCUUCACCUUCAGACAACAGACAGUGGGACUUCUUGACCUCCAUUUCCAAUUCCCAAAAUAAAUCUUCUUAUAUCUAUG
rnacentral:lncRNA from 1 species